UUCGGAUUGUAGUCUGCAACCCGACUACAUGAAGCCGGAAUCGCUAGUAAUCGCGGAUCAGAAUGCCGCGGUGAAUACGUUCCCGGGUCUUGUACACACCGCCCGUCACACCAUGGGAGUCGGGAAUGCCCGAAGUCAGUGACCCAACCGAAAGGGAGGAGCUGCCGAAGGUGGAGCCGGUAACUGGGGUGAAGUCGUAACAAGGUAUC
rnacentral:rRNA from 1 species